UACAGAGGUCUCGAGCGUUGUUCGGAAUCACUGGGCGUAAAGGGUGCGUAGGCCGCACGGUAAGUCAGAUGUGAAAUCUCAGGGCUCAACUCUGAAAUUGCAUCCGAUACUGCCGUGCUUGAGGACUGGAGAGGAGUCUGGAAUUCACGGUGUAGCAGUGAAAUGCGUAGAUAUCGUGAGGAACACCAGAGGCGAAGGCGGCUACCUGGACAAUUGCUGACGCUCAGGCACGAAAGCGUGGGGAGCAAAAGGG
rnacentral:rRNA from 1 species